GGCUAAUCGAAUGUUUAUCGGCUUUUUAGAUAUGUUGUGCUACAGUCUCGUUUGAAUGGAAAUUACUCACUUAUCGUGCAGAGGUCGUUGUGUGUAGAACGAAGUGGCAAGCUUGCAGAAUCGUUAGGAAACUGGACAAAAUACUUAGUGACAUUUUGUCACCUACAUGUUCUGAGUUCAUUUUCUGUUAAGGUUGAUGAUAUGUAUUGAACAUUAGAACUGACAGGACUUUCACCGUUGAGAAAUGCUGUGCAUUUUAAUAUACAAUUUUACAAGCUUUAUUGAACAUCAUCAUUUCGUAGUUUUUUUCCCUUUAACGCUGGGACAUAAUGCUUUGGAAAUUUGCAUUGGAGAUAUUCAGUUAAAUUUGCUAGUUCAUGUUGACAUGGGUGUAAGCAUAGCAAUAUGGUUACAAUGUUUGCUUCACAAUCACAUGGUUCUGUGUUUGAUCCCAUAGCCAUGGCAAUUUUGGUAAAUGUCUUUCACCAUUCCACUUACGAAUUCCCUUUACAAGGUAUAAUACACACCCCUUCUCUAACUUGAGUCAAGGAUAAUGCAAACGUGUAGCUUUUUUGUGCACUCUGUUUGCAGAAAAUAAAGAAAUAACAGUAAUAACGUCAGUGAAAAAUAAAUAUAGCUUAAGGCAUUAGCUUAAGGUAUUUUUGCGCACAACAUCACAAAAUGCGUCUGAAUAAACAUUGCCGGACACUAAAGAGAGACUUGGACAUUGCUUAGAAAAUAUUUUUCAUUUUUAACCUUGCAUAUAGUACGCACUAGGGAUUUUGACCUUUAAAUUUUGGGAAAAAAAUGCGGAUUAUACUUGAGUAUUUACGGUAUAUGUAUGUUUCUAUCUUUAACAGUGCAUGUCAGUAAAAAAUUGUGCGCUUCAAACAAAGUUUUUUGCAAGAAGCAGGUUUUUUUUGGCAGGAGUGAACUCUAUUGCAUGGAGUUUCAGUAAAUAAAUUCCUUCAUCAUU